rnacentral:rRNA from 1 species
UACGGAGGGGGCUAGUGUUGUUCGGAAUUACUGGGCGUAAAGGGCGCGCAGGCGGCUUGGCAAGUCGAGUGUGAAAUCCCUUGGCUUAACUGAGGAAUGGCGCUCGAAACUACCUCGCUUGAGGGCGGGAGAGGGAAGUGGAACUCUCGGUGUAGGGGUGAAAUCUGUAGAUAUCGAGAGGAACACCGGUGGCGAAGGCGGCUUCCUGGCCCGUACCUGACGCUGAGGCGCGAAAGCGUGGGGAGCAAACAGGAUUAGAUACCCUGGUAGUCCACGCCCUAAACGAUGGGCACUAGGUGUGGGCGGUAUUAAUCCCGUCUGUGCCGUAGCUAACGCAUUAAGUGCCCCGCCUGGGGAGUACGGUCGCAAGGCUGAA